GACGAACGCUGGCGGCGUGCUUAACACAUGCAAGUCGAGCGACUGCAUUCUUUUCGGAGGGUGUAUGGAGCGGCGAACGGGUGAGUAACACGUGAGUAAUCUGCCUUUGGCUUGGGAAUAACUUCGGGAAAUCGGGGCUAAUGCCUGAUGUUUACUGUCUGCUGCAUGGUGGGUGGUGGAAAGAUUUUUUGGCCAGGAGUGAGCUCGCGGUCUAUCAG
rnacentral:rRNA from 1 species